rnacentral:rRNA from 1 species
UACGGGGGGGGCAAGCGUUGUUCGGAAUUACUGGGCGUAAAGGGCUCGUAGGUGGCCCAACUAAGUCAGACGUGAAAUCCCUCGGCUUAAACCGGGGAACUGCGUCUGAUACUGGAUGGCUAGAGGUUGGGGAGAGGGAGUGCGGAAAUUCCAGGUGUAGCGGUGAAAAUGCGUAGAUAUCGGAAGGAACGCCGGUGGCGAAAGCGAACGUGCUGGACCCCCCCUGACGCUGAGGCGCGAAAGCCAGGGGAGCGAACGGGG